UACGGAGGGCGCGAGCGUUAAUCGGAAUUACUGGGCGUAAAGCGCGCGUAGGCUGUUGUGUAAGUUGGGGGUGAAAUCCCACGGCUCAACCGUGGAACAGCCCUUGAUACUGCGCGGCUUGAAUCCGGGAGAGGGUGGCGGAAUUCCAGGUGUAGGAGUGAAAUCCGUAGAUAUCUGGAGGAACAUCAGUGGCGAAGGCGGCCACCUGGACCGGUAUUGACGCUGAGGCGCGAAAGCGUGGGGAGCAAACAGG
rnacentral:rRNA from 1 species